UCCAGACUCCUACGGGAGGCAGCAGUGGGGAAUAUUGCACAAUGGGCGCAAGCCUGAUGCAGCCAUGCCGCGUGUAUGAAGAAGGCCUUCGGGUUGUAAAGUACUUUCAGCGGGGAGGAAGGUGUUGUGGUUAAUAACCACAGCAAUUGACGUUACCCGCAGAAGAAGCACCGGCUAACUCCGUGCCAGCAGCCGCGGUAAUACGGAGGGUGCAAGCGUUAAUCGGAAUUACUGGGCGUAAAGCGCACGCAGGCGGUCUGUCAAGUCAGAUGUGAAAUCCCCGGGCUCAACCUGGGAACUGCAUUCGAAACUGGCAGGCUGGAGUCCUGUAGAGGGGGGUAGAAUUCCAGGUGUAGCGGUGAAAUGCGUAGAGAUCUGGAGGAAUACCGGUGGCGAAGGCGGCCCCCUGGACAAAGACUGACGCUCAGGUGCGAAAGCGUGGGGAGCAAACAGGAUUAGAUACCCUCGUAAAU
rnacentral:rRNA from 1 species